rnacentral:rRNA from 1 species
GAUGAACGCUAGCGGGAGGCCUAAUACAUGCAAGUCGAACGGUAACAGGGGUAGCAAUACCCGCUGACGAGUGGCGCACGGGUGCGUAACACGUACACAAUCUACCUUAUACUGGAGCAUAACCUUGGGAAACUGAGGCUAAUUCUCCAUAACAUAUUGAAGAGGCAUCUCUUUAAUAUUAAAACUCAGGUGGUAUAAGAUGAGUGUGCGUCUGAUUAGCUAGUUGGUGGGGUAAUGGCUCACCAAGGCAACGAUCAGUAGCUGGUCUGAGAGGAUGAUCAGCCACACGGGCACUGAGACACGGGCCCGACUCCUACGGGAGGCAGCAGUAGGGAAUAUUGGACAAUGGGCGCAAGCCUGAUCCAGCCAUCCCGCGUGAAGGAUUAAAGGCCCUCUGGGUUGUAAAACUUCUUUUCUUUGGGAAUAAAAAACUCCGUUUCUACGGAGCUUGAAGGUACCAGAGGAAUAAGCACCGGCUAACUCCGUGCCAGCAGCCG